GACGAACGCUGGCGGCGUGCCUAAUACAUGCAAGUCGAGCGAAGGGGGGACGGGGGAGUAAGACGGGGAUAACCGCCGUUAAGACUGGGAUAAAGUGGGGAAACAGGUGCUAAACCGGAUACUUAGAGGUGGAUGCGCGCUGCAUUAGCUGGUUGGUAAGGUAACGGCGUACCAAGGCAACGAUGCAUAGCCGACCUGUGAGGGUGAGAGGCCACACUGGAACUGAGACACGGUCCAGACUCCUACGGGAGGCAGCAGUAGGGAAUCUUCCGCAAUGGGCGAAAGCCUGACGGAGCAACGCCGCGUGAGUGAUGAAGGUCUUCGGAUCGUAAAACUCUGUUAUUAGGGAAGCGGUACCUAAUCAGAAAGCCACGGCUAACUACGUGCCAGCAGCCGCGGUAAUAC
rnacentral:rRNA from 1 species